GUUAACGGCGUCGAGCGGCGGACGGGUGAGUAAUGCCUGGGAAAUUGCCCUGAUGUGGGGGAUAACCAUUGGAAACGAUGGCUAAUACCGCAUAAUAGCUUCGGCUCAAAGAGGGGGACCUUCGGGCCUCUCGCGUCAGGAUAUGCCCAGGUGGGAUUAGCUAGUUGGUGAGGUAAUGGCUCACCAAGGCGACGAUCCCUAGCUGGUCUGAGAGGAUGAUCAGCCACACUGGAACUGAGACACGGUCCAGACUCCUACGGGAGGCAGCAGUGGGGAAUAUUGCACAAUGGGCGCAAGCCUGAUGCAGCCAUGCCGCGUGUAUGAAGAAGGCCUUCGGGUUGUAAAGUACUUUCAGCAGUGAGGAAGGCGGGUACGUUAAUAGCGUCCUUGUUUGACGUUAGCUGCAGAAGAAGCACCGGCUAACUCCGUGCCAGCAGCCGCGGUAAUACGGAGGGUGCGAGCGUUAAUCGGAAUUACUGGGCGUAAAGCGCAUGCAGGUGGUUUGUUAAGUCAGAUGUGAAAGCCCGGGGCUCACCCUCGGAAUUGCAUUUGAA
rnacentral:rRNA from 1 species